rnacentral:lncRNA from 1 species
CCUUGCUUUAUUUUGUCAUAUUGACUGAAGUAAUGAAUUAUGUAUCAAUAUGAUCAUCAUUCCGAUUUAAAAACUAUAUGGCACCGACAACUUCAAUGGGGGGCCAUAAAAAAAAGACAAGCAUCAGUCCAGAAAUAUCAUACAACUACAAAACACAAGAGCAUUAUACAGGAAACAAACAAUUUGUUUAGAUUUUAUAACAUUUAAUAGAUAUUGCACCAUAUAACAUCAAAAUUUGAAAAUAAAUUUAAAGUGAACUAUUCUAGUUAUCACAUAUAAAUUUGAAAUACAUCUUAACAAUAUGGCAUGGUAGUAUAAACAACCAAGUUAUUUCAUAACAAUUGUGCACUAGUACAAACUUCAAAAACCAAGAACUUCUGACACAAACUAGAACAAGUCCUUGUAUAUCUGUAAGCAAGCAUGUGAACUACUUCAUAGCACUUAGUGAAAUUACUCAAGAUGUGAGCUUUUGGAAGGAUUAAUGUCACUUAAAAGCAAUUGAUAAUAAAGAUAUUUUUUUAUAUGGGGUUGUAUGGAAAGGCACUUGAAAUAAAAUUAGGAGGUUGGCAGAUGAUUCUGAUUCUUCAAAUAUGGAUAGAAUUAACUAAAUUGAAAUUUUAUGCAUUUUUGUUAAAAACAAAUGUUUUCAUUAAUUUUAACUAGACCUUUAUUAGUAUGUUCCUGAGAAAAAAAAUUGGAAAUUCAUAUAAAUUAUGAAAUUGCUUACAUAUUGUUGUCAAGAUAAUGAAAUUCAGUGUGACUGUCAUACAAGUGGAAGGUUUAGCUAGCUAUCCACCAUUUUUUACAUAAAAAGCACCCGUACCAAGUCAUGAAUAUAACAGCUGUUUUCCACUCUUGAGAUGUUUUUGAGCUUUUGAUUUUGCCAUUUUAUUAAGGACUUUCUGUUUUCAAUUUCCAUUGCAGUUUUUUAUUAUUUUACUUUUUUAUAAAAAUCAGACUGCAAUACUUCACAUAACUGAUAAAAUUGCAGGUAUCAUCUUAAACCUUCAAGUUAGUUUAUUUUAGAUUUAUGAGUUUGACUGUCCCUUUGGUAUCUUUGGUCCCUCUUUUUGAAUAACCAAUUAAAGCACAACUAUAUAAAGACAAAAUUAUGUAAAGAUUCUAUUUCUCAUUGUAAUUUGGACUAUUUUGGUUUAUCAAAUACUGGUAAAAAAUAUCAAUUGUGUUUACAGUAUAUAGCAUAUUAGGCAAAAAGAUAUAGAGUCAAGAAGAAAAAAAUCAGGAAUAGGAAAUAAUAGGGUGCAGAGAAAUAAAAAAAAAGAAGAGAAAAUGACACAUGAAAUUACUUAAAAUUCAAAUUCUAAUGCAAUUAUUUUGUAUCAAUGGUUCUGAUUGGAUGACAGUUAGCGUAAAAUUCUCUAUCUCCUUGUCUGUAACUAAGGAAGCCGACAUUUUGAAUUGCUCAAUGUAUUGACUAAUUUCUACAAUAAUAAGCCAAAAAAACUCACAUGUUGCACCUAAAAAUCUUCUUUUUAUCAAAUUUUAAUUCAUUCUGAAGCGGCACAGAAGCCAGAAAACGCCCGGUGUUUAUGUUUGACGCCGAAAGCCAUACCUAUGACGUCACCUAUUGUAGGGACCAAAGAAGAUAACAUAUUUUCGCGGAAUUUUCUUUAAUGAAGAUUUUACACUGAAAUAAUGAUUGAAAUUUAAUUAUGAACUUGCUUUGCAUUAGAAUAGAGAUAACUGUAUUGUAUUUGAAGCUUUUCGGACGUCCA